rnacentral:rRNA from 1 species
UACGUAGGGUGCGAGCGUUAAUCGGAAUUACUGGGCGUAAAGCGUGCGCAGGCGGUUUUGUAAGCCAGAUGUGAAAUCCCCGGGCUCAACCUGGGAAUGGCAUUUGGGACUGCAAGGCUGGAGUGCGGCAGAGGAGACUGGAAUUCCUGGUGUAGCAGUGAAAUGCGUAGAUAUCAGGAGGAAUACCGAUGGCGAAGGCAGGUCUCUGGGCUGACACUGACGCUCAUGCACGAAAGCGUGGGGAGCAAACAG